rnacentral:rRNA from 2 species
UACGGAGGGAGCUAGCGUUGUUCGGAAUUACUGGGCGUAAAGCGUACGUAGGCGGCUUUGUAAGUAAGAGGUGAAAGCCUGGAGCUCAACUCCAGAACUGCCUUUUAGACUGCAUCGCUUGAAUCCAGGAGAGGUGAGUGGAAUUCCGAGUGUAGAGGUGAAAUUCGUAGAUAUUCGGAAGAACACCAGUGGCGAAGGCGGCUCACUGGACUGGUAUUGACGCUGAGGUACGAAAGCGUGGGGAGCAAACAGG